rnacentral:rRNA from 1 species
UACGAAGGACCCGAGCGUUAUCCGGAUUUAUUGGGUUUAAAGGGUGCGUAGGCGGAUUUACAAGUCAGUGGUGAAAUCUCCCAGCUCAACUGGGAAACUGCCAUUGAAACUGUUUAUCUUGAGUACAUUUGAGGCGGGCGGAAUGUGUCAUGUAGAGGUGAAAUUCUUAGAUAUGACACAGAACACCAAUUGCGAAGGCAGCUCGCUAAACUGUAACUGACGCUGAGGCACGAAAGCUGGGGGAGCAAACAGG